GAUGAACGCUGGCGGCGUGCCUAAUACAUGCAAGUCGAGCGAACAGAUGAGGAGCUUGCUCCUCUGACGUUAGCGGCGGACGGGUGAGUAACACGUGGAUAACCUACCUAUAAGACUGGGAUAACUUCGGGAAACCGGAGCUAAUACCGGAUAAUAUAUUGAACCGCAUGGUUCAAUAGUGAAAGACAGUUUUGCUGUCACUUCUAGAUGGAUCCGCGCCGCAUUAGCUAGUUGGUAAGGUAACGGCUUACCAAGGCAACGAUGCGUAGCCGACCUGAGAGGGGGAUCGGCCACACUGGAACUGAGACACGGUCCAGACUCCUACGGGAGGCAGCAGUAGGGAAUCUUCCGCAAUGGGCGAAAGCCUGACGGAGCAACGCCGCGUGAGUGAUGAAGGUCUUCGGAUCGUAAAACUCUGUUAUUAGGGAAGAACAAAUGUGUAAGUAACUAUGCACGUCUUGACGGUACCUAAUCAGAAAGCCACGGCUAACUACGUG
rnacentral:rRNA from 1 species